UUAAGGAGGUGCUCACAUCUCCCGUGUGUCUGUAUAAAGAGAGAAACGUGGUCGGGAGCAGGGACAUGUAAGGGUUCUCCUUCAGGGAUGGGUGGGCCUUAAAUGCUGUUUGGCCGCAAAGAAUUGAAUCUUCGGCAGCGCAAAUUACUCUGGGUUGAAAUGAAAACAUCAUGGUUUGAGAGAUUUGGUGAUAAUCGCUAACUGUAUGACUUCAACCCUGAACGUCUGAGCAGAGCCUGUUGUCCCCAGAUGGAAGUGAACUGACUAUCUGUACUGGACUCAUUUUGAAGGGGGGGAAGAAAGGGAAAAGUCACGAGAGCUUAAAUUUAAUUUUCUUCUCAUGGGUAUAAACCUCUAUGCUGACACUCACUGCUUGUGUUGCAGUGACGAGCAGGGUGAGAUGCUCACCAGUCUGCCCAACGGUGGUUUGGGAUAGUUGCUCCUGUAGGAUGGGAAUGGCAGCCAGCCUGCCCACUACAAACUGGGUUGAGCCCUCUUAACGUAGGUCUCAUGCAGACGUGAUUCCUAUCCUUUAAAAAUUGGCCUGGUUCAAACCCAGCAUCAUUUGUAGGCUGUCACCUGCUUCUUUGACUCCACACAGCUCCAACUACCAGGUGUCUGGCUGGGAGCUUCCAGUUUCCCUUGGGUGUCUUAAUUUUUUUUUGCAGUGAUACAUCUAAAAGUGCUGUCUGAUUAAAAGUAACUUUAUUUUUA